rnacentral:rRNA from 1 species
CAAUAGCGUAUAUUAAAGUUGUUGCAGUUAAAAAGCUCGUAGUUGGAUUUCGGGGUGGCCUGGCUGGUCCGCCGCAAGGUGAGUACUGGUCAGCCGCCCUUCCUCUCGAAAGCCCCGACUGCUCUUUACUGCAGUGGUCGGGUAGUUCGGGACGUUUACUUUGAAAAAAUUAGAGUGUUCAAGGCAGGCUAUCGCCUGAAUACAUUAGCAUGGAAUAAUGGAAGAGGACCUCGGUCCUAUUUUGUUGGUUUCUAGGGCCGAAGUAAUGAUUAAGAGGGACAGUUGGGGGCAUUCGUAUUUAAUUGUCAGAGGUGAAAUUCUUGGAUUUAUGAAAGACGAACUAGUGCGAAAGCAUUUGCCAAGGAUGGUUUCAUUAA